rnacentral:rRNA from 1 species
GACGAACGCUGGCGGCGUGCCUAACACAUGCAAGUCGAACGAGGUCCAUGCAGUGGCAACACUGCGGAAGACCUAGUGGCGAACGGGUGAGUAACACGUGAGGAACCUGCCCCGAAGACCGGGAUAACCCUCCGAAAGGAGGGCUAAUACCGGAUACCCCCACCAGAUCGCAUGAUCUGGUGAGGAAAUGGAUUCCGCUUCGGGAGGGCCUCGCGGCCUAUCAGCUAGUUGGUGGGGUAACGGCCUACCAAGGCAUCGACGGGUAGCUGGUCUGAGAGGACGAUCAGCCACACUGGGACUGAGACACGGCCCAGACUCCUACGGGAGGCAGCAGUGGGGAAUCUUGCGCAAUGGGCGAAAGCCUGACGCAGCAACGCCGCGUGGGGGAUGAAGGCUCUCGGGUUGUAAACCCCUUUCAGCAGGGACGAACCAAGACGGUACCUGCAGAAGAAGCCCCGGCUAACUACGUGCCAGCCGCCGCAGUAAGAC